rnacentral:rRNA from 1 species
GACGUAGGGCGCGAGCGUUGUCCGGAUUUAUUGGGCGUAAAGAGCUUGUAGGCGGCUUGUCGCGUCGUCUGUGAAAACCCGCGGCUUAACUGCGGGCUUGCAGUUGAUACGGGCAGGCUAGAGUUCGGUAGGGGAGACUGGAAUUCCUGGUGUAGCGGUGAAAUGCGCAGAUAUCGUAAGGAAGGCCGGUGGCGAAAGCGAGCCUCUGGACAGUAACUGACGCUGAUGCACGAAGGCCAGGGGAGCAAACGGG